rnacentral:lncRNA from 1 species
GCUUUCCGGCGUUGGAGUUGCAGCUUCACCCUCGCAGAUUCGGCUUAGCGAGCGAGUCGGUGCUUCCGCGGAUCAAAAUUAUUAGCCGUUUUAUUAGAGCCCAUUAAACGUUGCAUAAACAUGGUUCAGAGCUGCCUGGGAGAAGAAAAGCCAAAGGAUGCCACCCUCUCGAUUUAUCCCACCCUCGGGAGUCUGAAAGCCGACGCCAGGAGAAAUCCCGCGAAGGCCGCCCGGGAUCCUGGUAGAGGCGACGCUGUGUGCGUUUAUGGAGCGCUUGCGGUGCGUGGCACUAGGCUGGGUGUGGUGGGUGCUGCCGAAAAAAGGGUUCCUCCCAUCCAUUUGCACGUCACCCUUCCCACCUCCUGCCCAGAUGGACAGAAGUGAGGACAUUCAUCGGCCGCAUUUUACUAAUGGCAAGGAGAUAGCGACUGAAGGGCAAGAACCUAGGGUUUCCUGUCUUUGAUAUUUCUCAUCUUUGAGAGAAGCCAGUAUUUGGAGAUGUUUACCCUGCUGUUUUGGAAGUUGUCCACUUUACUUGAUAUUGGGACAUAUCAAGAGACCACUAUAUGGUCUUGAGUGUAAACUACAGUUCUGGAAGCCUAAAAUCAAGAUAUCAACUGGACUGUUUUUCCUGAAGUCUUCAAGAAAAAGUCUGUUUCCUUGCCUUUUUCAAUUUCUAGAGGCUACCUACAUUUCUUGGCUCAUGGCCCCUUACUCAUAUCACCCCAUCCUCCUGCUUAAGUCAUUGCAUCUACUAGGCAAAUCUGCCUCUCUCUUGUAAGAAUCUUUAUGAUUAUAUUGGGCCUAUUGGAUAGUCCAGGAUAAUCUCUGUAUCUUGAGAUCAUUAACUUAGUCAUAUCCACAAAGUCUCUUUUAUCUUGAAGGUAAAAUAUUCAUAGAAUCCAGGAUUAGGAUCUGAACAUAUUUGGGGGCCAUUAUUCAGCCUACUACACAGUAGGAAUUCUAUUUAUAUCCUUUCAUUCCCAAACAUGCAUGUUAUGUAUAUAUGAGACACAGCACCAUAAAAUGAGUGUUGAUUUAGAGUAUAUACUGUACCCUGGUGGACAAGGUCAUUCCAUUUUCACAGGCUAUUAUCUUCAAGCUUUUGCUUCAGUUUCACCUUCAAAAGGGUUUUUCAUCAUUCCAUCAGACCCGCAUUUUCUCGGUUAUAUAGUAUGUGAUAGGACUAGUGGAUCUCAUGGUUAUGUACCUGCUGAUACACCUCCUUUGCUGUAAAGUGCAUCCCUAAAUCAAAGGCAAUAUUACACAGGAUACAUGUUGAUGGAUCAAAUACCUGUAAACCUGUGAGUAGUAGAGCUGGCCAACAACUUAUAGGCAAGGAAGUCAAACUCAUACAUGCAGAUGGGCAGUUUCUAGUCAAGGAGAAUCACUGCCCAUUCUAGGAUGGAAGGAAUCCAACAUAAAUCAAUUUGCUGCCCAAGUAGCUGUUUGGUAUCCUUGAGGGUUGGUGCUGUAUCAGGAACUUGGUGUUUAACACUGGGGAGUGGCUAUUUUGUUGUUGUUGUUGUUGUUGUUUUGUUUUGUUUGAGACGGAGUUUCACUGGUUGCCCAGGCUGGAGUGCCGUGGCGCCAUCUCGGCUCACUGCAACCUCUGCCUCCUGGGUUCAAGGGAUUCUCCUGCCUCAGCCUCGUGAGUAGCUGGGAUUACAGGCAUGCGCCACCACGGCCAGCUAAUUUUGUAUUUUUAGUAGAGACGGGGUUUCUCCAUGUUGGUCAGGCUGGUCUCAAACUCCAGACCUCAGGUGAUCCGCCCACCUCAGCCUCCCAAAGUGCUGGGAUUACAGACAGGAGCCACCGCGCCCAGCCUGGGGAGUGGCUAUUGGAUAAGUGGAGGCUAUCUAUUGGCUUCUUGCUCACUUGCAUUCCUGCAAGAUGACUACUUUGUCAUAAGCCCCCUGUGCCAUUCCUGGGGGCGGAGGGAGGGGGCGGUGGAGCCGAUGGUUGUAGCUGCUGAAGUUUACUGGCUAAAUCUGUCUACUUGGUUAUUUAAUGCUGCUUACAUGUUGGAUUGUCUCUGGCAGAUAAAGAUUGUGUUAUACAAUACAAAAAGCCCUCCUUAUGUGCCAUAUCUGAUAUAUUUCUCCUCUGCUUCUCCAGACUUCUUGUCCCUGAUAUACCAGUCUUAUUCCAGACCCCUGAUCAACUAGCCAACUUAUUUGCCAUGAAAAUAUGUUCUUAGUUCAAGACACUUUCUUUCCACACACAGUUGAUGACCAGGAAUACUGCCCCACAUUAUGCCUUUUGGGAGGGUUCUCCUUACUGCUGUCUUUUAAGGCCAGUCCUGUGUGGGGCUGUAGGGCAGUAGCAGUCCAUUUUUGUUUUGAACCUAUAUUCCAAGAAACCUCAGUGAAUUCAGCUCAGGCUUUUUUGUCCUCCAUAAGCUAGACAUGAGAGCCUCCCAAGUGGCCAUAAUUGUGAGCUGAGGAAGGGACAUUGGUAAAGAAUCAGAUAUGACAUGGGAGCCUGACCACCUGCCUUUGCCCAGCUCAUGAUGGGCCUCUCUGGCUACAUGGUCACUUGAUGUCCAUAAUCAGUUCUUACCAAGGCACAUUAGCAUGGAUAGAGUUGUUUUUGGGAUUUUGCACUGCAGAUGGCCCAGCCUUGCCACAGAAUGCCAGGAGUCGACCUUGUGAUUCUCCCAUUGGAGCUUGCCUUCAACUUUCAUGGCUUCUUAUCACAUUUACUCUUGUCCCAUAGAAUAUCCUGAAUUGGUCCAUGCAACAGGGCUAAAUACACCAUACCUGCUAGAGAACUUUUACAUGCUAUGGAUCCCACUGAAAACUGGCAGAUUUCUAUCUCACCCAGUUUACGAGUCAGAACAGUACUGCCAACUUCUGAAUUCCCACAGAAGCCUACACAGCUUGGUGUGCUUCCCUGGUGGCAGAAUAAUUUUGGUGAAAUGAGUGGGUGAGAUGCAAUAAUUUGUCCUUUACUGUGAAGGGGAUAUCUUGGCAUUCAAGCAGCCUACUGGGCCCUAAAAGUUUCACUGAGGUAACAGCUUGCUGGGUCUUAAGGAUUAUUUCCCAUCCUCCAGUGUACAGUAUGCUAGCUGCUUAUUAUUCACCUUAUCCAGCUAGCAUGAUGUCAUCAAUGUGGUAGGUCAUUGUGACAUUAUGUGGGAUGUUUAGAUGGUCUAGAUCUCUUCGGAUUAUGACGCAGUGUGGAAGAGUUAACAUAACCCUAAGCCAAUACUAUAAAUGGGUACUGCUGUCCUAUAUAAACACAAACUUAAUUCUUGUCCAGCACUCUCAGGACCCAGUUCCAUACACAUGCUCAUGGUUCCUGUUGGUACAUGUUGGUUAGAUCCUGCAUCUCUUUGGUCAUAUAAGCCCAUUUGGAAUUGAAAGUAGACACACAGAAUGAGGGCAAAACACCUGCAGAACAGCUGCUUCAUCAUGGUGGGCUUUUUUCAUAUUAGGUUUUGUUACCUUUGAGUUUUUAAAUUAUGUGUAAAGCUUCGAUUAAAAAAAUAAAAAUUAUUAAAAAGAAACUGAGACAGUCUAUCCACCUAUCUCUAUUUACCCAGUGCUGUUGUUGUGUUACAUAAAAUUCAAUUUUAGCUUCAUGUUCAUGCAAUAUUUUCGUUUACCCUUGAUUCAACCUUGACCUUUAAAAAGCCAAAAAGACAAAUACCUAUUUUGACACUGGUUCUGAUCUCUCUGAAAUUCUGUGUGACCAAUGGUCAAGUAACCUUGCAGGUUAUUUAUCAUGUCUAAUCUGAAAAAAGUCAUUGUAUUUACUAAUAUUUUAAUAUUCACCUUAUAGGUAAGCAUUCUAAACAUGAUUGUGGCAAGAAAUUCUUAUAUGCUUUACAUGUUGAAAUUCUGUGUCAAAUGAAGUACAUAUGUAUAUUAUUGCAAGAGUGAAUUUCUUCAGUAAUGAUUGUGACAGCUAGUAAAUUUAAGUAGAAAGUAAUUAUAAACUUCCAAAUACUUUUUUUAAAUGGGCAAAAUAUAUGAAACAAUGGCCCUGAAGGCAUUGGACAUAGGCAGUGAAGGAUAGUAAUCCAUGAGAGAUGGAAUGCAAACAAGGUGAGCAAUACAAUUGCUCCAACUUGCUGCCUGAAGAAAGGCUUUGGCAUGGGGAGAGGGAACCCAGAAGACUCUGUGAGGUGAGGAGAUAUAAGUGGGAGUCCUGAGAGCCCAAGGCAACUAGAGUUCACAGGGUAGAAUACUAGAGAGGACAGAGUGACACAGAGAGAACUCCAGAGAUCUGCUGACCAUUCUCCUGAAGUAUUAAGCUAAAUAAUGAUUAGUACAUGCAUGAGAGGAAAUAACCAAAGGCUUGGCAAAGAACCAUCAGAAAGGAUUAAAGAAAACAAUACUCAAAGCUCACACAGGAUGGUGAAUGAUUCCUGAUCCCGUCAGCAAGAGUGGAAAAGAUCCUAAUUCACAAGGCACCAGUUAGAGUACUAAGAAAGGUCUUGCUUCAAUAGCGGGAAAAAUUAACCCUCGACUAAAUGCUCUAGAAUAACCUAACAAAGCUUAAAAGAGAGACCCAAAAACAUUCAAACUGUGUCCAAAUAACUUAAUCAUACUCCAGAAGAAAGUUCAAACUGUUUUAGGGAUAUGAAAAUAAUCUACAAAGUAAAAUUCACAAUGGCUGGCAUCCAAUCAAAAAUUACCAGGCAUGCAACAGAAAAAUACAACCCAUAAUAAGAAAAAUAAAACAUUCUGGGCUAGGUGCAGUGGCUCACACCUGUAAUCCCAGCACUUUGGGAGGCCAAGGUAGGUGGAUGACCUGAGGUCAGGAGUUCAAGACCAGCCUGGCCAACAUGGCGAAACCCCGUCUCUACUAAAAAUACAAAAAUUAGCAGGGAGUGGUGGUGCUCACCUGUAGUCCCAGCUAUUCAGGAGGCUAAGGCAGGAGAAUUGCUUGAACCCAGGAGGCAGAGGUUGCAGUGAGAUUGUGCCAAUGCACUCCAGCCUGGGCAACAGAGCAAGACUCCAUCUCAAAACAAACAAAAAAUAAAACAUUCUGUCAAAACUGACUCAGAAAUUACAGAUGAUGAAGAUUAUUAGACAAGGACAUUAAAACAGUUAUUAUAAUUAUAUUCCAUGUAUUCAAGAAACCAGAGGAAAGACUGAAGAUAUUACAGACAAUGAAGGUAUAAAAAGACCCGUAUCAAACUUCUAGAGAUGAAAACUCCAAUGUCUGAGAUGAAAAAUAUGUUAGAUGAGAUUAAUGGCAGAUUAGAUAUUGCAGAAAGAAAGAUCAGUGAACUUGAAGAUGCAGCAGUAGAACCUCCCUGAAACAGAGAGAAAAAAGAAUAAAAUGAGACACACACCUCCUACCAAAAUAAAUAGAGCAUCAGUAAAGGGUGGGACAACUUCAGGCAGCCAAAUGCAUGUGUAUAAUUGCAGUCCUUGAAGGAGAAGAGUGGGGAGCAAAAAAUGGUGGUGGUCUAGUCCAAAGUAAGUAGAAAAAAAAGAAAUAGAGCAGAAAUCAAAAGGUGGGCCGGGCACGGUGGCUCAUGGCUGUAAUCCCAGCACUCUGGGAGGCAGAGGAGAGUGGAUCACGAGGUCAGGAGUUCAAGACCAGCCUAGCCAAGAUGGUGAAACCCCGUCUCUACUAAAAAUACAAAAAAUUAGCUGGGCUUGGGGGUGGGUACCUGUAAUUCCAGCUACUCGGGAGGCUGAGGCAGGAGAAUCACUUGAACCCAGGAAGCGGAGGUUGCAGUGAGCUGAGAUCGCGCCACUGUACUCCAGCCUGGGCGCCAGAACAAGACUCCAUCUCAAAAAGAAAAAAAAGAAAGAAAGAAAAAGUAGAAAUACAAUAGAGAAAAAUCAAUGAAACCAAAAGCUAAUUCUUUGAGAAGCUAAGUUUGAUAAAGCUCUAGGCCGACUGAUCAGGAAAAGAGAGGACAAAUUAUCAGUAUCAGUAAUGAGAGGUGAUAACACUACAGAUUUUACAGUUGUUAAAAGGAACAUUUUGAACACUUUGUAUCAGUAUAUUUGGCAAAUUAGAUAAAACAGAAAAAUUCCUUGAAGAUGCAAACUACUAAAGCUCAGCCAAGAAAUAGAUACCCUAAAAAACUCUUUCAGAGAAACUGAAUUUGUAGUUACAAAUCUUCCCAUAAAGAAAAAAAUCCAGGUCCAAAUAGCUUCAUUGGGGAUUUCUAACAAACAUUAAGGAAGUAAUAAUAAUUGUACAUAAACUUUUCCAGAAAAUGGAAGAAUGCAUCCCAACUGAGUCAACUAAUUCUAUGAGCCAGCAUUUUUCCCAUGAACGUAAACGAAAAAUUUAUUGACUAUGAAUUAUGUAUACAAAGCCAACUCCUUGUACAAUCCCAUGUCACCACAGUUGUUGGAAAUGAGGGUGGGCAGAUGAAGGAAUAUUAGGGGUUAGUGUAUGUGUUGAGUAUAUUUUUAAAUGUUUUAGAAUACUAGGAUUUUGAUAAACUGAAUUUGCAAGACAUCACAUAUUUAACCAUGUCACAUUUUUGCUUAGACCCUUCAAUGACAUCCCAUUGCUGCUGGGAUGGUGUUCUUAAUAUAGCCUACAUUGCCCCCUGCCUGAUCUGACCAUCACUUAACUCUGCAGCCUAAUUAACAUUCCUUCACCCCUUACUCUUUCCUCUCCAUCCACCCUACCCUUCAUUUUGGCCCCUCAAAUUCCUCCACAUGGCACUUGCACACACUGUCAGAGCCUGGAAAGCUGUUCCCCAUUUUAGCCACUCAUUAAUUCCUACUCACCAUUCAGCUCGCAGCUAAGUCAUCAAAUUCUCAGGGAAGACUGCCCUGACCUUUCUGACCAGGCCAACCCGUCAUAGGUUCCAAUUGCACCCCGAGAACCUCUCCUCACAGCAUUUACUAGAAUGCAAGUUGUUACAUGAAAUGUUGUAUGUGGUGUGUGAUUAUUGGAUAAAUGCCUAUCCCUCUCAUUAGAGUAUAAGGUCCAUGGAGUCUGGGAUUGAGUCUUGUUUUGUUGGCUAUUUUACUCCCAGUGGUUGCCACAGUGUCUGGCACAUGAUUGGGGCCCAAAAACAUUUAUGAAAGGGCAAGAAGAGACAGAAGGGAAAAGAGACAAAACAACACUCCAGCCUGUGGUCUAGUAACUAAGCUUCUGUGCUUUUAUGGCUACAGCCUGAGUUAGAUUCCUGUUCAGGGAACGAAUCCCAUUAUUGAGUAUCUAUCACUUUGAUUAAAAAAAAAAAAAAAAGACCAAACGCAGUCCUUGGAGUCAUGGAUAAAUUAAUUUCAAGGCUGAAUGAAGUUUUUAUUUCACUGGAUGGAAGCAUUAACCGAUGAAACACCUGAAAAAAAGAACUGAUUUCAAGAUGCCCUGUUUUGGGUGGUAUGAGCUCUGUGAGCAUUCCCACUCAGUUUUUAUUUACUCACUUCUAUUAUAUAUGUCUAAUUUAUUUGGUUAAUCUAGUACUCAGAAUAUCAGGUAGAAAUAUUUCUUGCCUGUAAGUUAAAAAAAAAUUCGCACAGUGACUUAAAUAGACUUGGGGGUGGGAUUGCAGGUUAUUUUAUUUUUUUAUUUUUUCACAUGACAAGUGCAGAGAUAGACAUUUCAGGGCUGUGUAGCUGAUCAAAGAUCCCCUUAAGAAAUCAGUCCUACAAUGCUGCUCUGCCAGUCUUAGCAUGCUUGGAGAGAUGGCUGCUACAUCUCCAGGGUCAGAGACCCAAAGCCCUCCCCGGGGACCUCUGCCUGCAGCUCCUUGCCAGAACUGGUUCACAUGGUCACUAUCUGUGCAAGAGAGGCUGGGAAAUUUAGUACUUGAGUUUUCCAGCUUCUCCUUUUUAAGAGAAAGGGGAAUUGGGAUGGAUACUGUGAGUCAAUUCUGGGCCCCAGUGAAAAGGUUCUUGGGAACAACUUGGAGAAUCUGGAGAAGGGCCUAUAGGAAACACACAAUGGUAACUGUAAGAUUCAAAAGAAAGUUUCAAUGAGACAAAUAGCUUAUCUUGGAGAAGAGGUUAAGGGGCCCUCACUUCCUCUGCCUUUACAUAGUUGAUUCUAUUCAAAAUUCAGCUCUAGGACAGGCACCAUGGCUCAUGCCUGUGAUCCCAGCACUUUGGGAGGCUGAGGUUAGAGGAUCACUUGAGCCCUAGAGUUCGAGACCAGCCUGGGCAACAUAGUGAGACCCUCUAUCUAUAAAAAAAAUUAAAAAUUAUGGGUGGGCACAGUGGCUCACACCUGUAUUCCCAGCACUUUGGGAGGCUGAGGUGGGUGGAUCUCUUGAGGUCAGGAGUUCAAGACCAGCCUGGCCAACAUGGUGAAACCCUGUCUCCACUAAAAACAAAAAUUGGCUAGGCAUGGUGGUGCACACCUGUAAUCCCAGCUACUCGGGAGGGUGAGGCAGGAGAAUCACUUGAACUUGGGGGGGUGGGUGUGUGGGAGGUUGCUACUCAGGAGGCUGGGGCAGGAGGAUUGCAGUUCAGGAGGUCAAAGCUGCAAGUAAGUCUUUUGUUUGUUUGUUUGUUUGUUUGGUGGGGGACAGAGUCUCACUCUGUCACCCAGGCUACAAUGCAGUGGUGUGAUCUCCGCUUACUGCAACCUCCGCCUCCCGGGUUCAAGCGAUUCUCCUGCCUCAGCCUCCUGAGUAGCUGGGAUUACAGGUGUUUGCCACCAUGUCUCACUAAUUUUCGUAUGUUUUUUUUUUUUGGGGGACGGAGUCUUGCUCUGUCACCCAGGCUGGAGUGCAGUGGUGUGAUACUGGCUCACUGCAAUCUCUGCCUCCUGGGUUCAAGCGAUUCUCUUGCCGCAGCCUCCCGAGUAGCUGGGACUACAGGUGCCCACCACCACCCCUGGCUAAGUUUUGUAUUUUUAGUAGAGAUGGGGUUUCACCAUCUUGGCCAGGCUGGUCUGGAACUCCUGACCUUAUGAUCCACCCGCCUCAGCCUCCCAAAGUGCUGGGAUUACAGGCAUGAGCCACCGCACCUGGCCAAUUUUUGUACUUUUAUUAGAGACAGGAUUUCACCAUGUUGGCCAGGCUGGUCUCAAACUGCUGACCUCAGGUGUGAUUUGCCCACCUCAGCCUCCCAAAGUUUACAGGCGUGAGCUGGGAUUACAGGUGUGAGCCACUGCACCCAGCCUGCAGUGAACCUUGAUUGCGCCACUGCAUUCCAGCCUGGGCAACAAAGCAAGACCCUAAAAAUAAUAAAAUGCAGCUCUGGUGUUCCUUCCUGUAGGAAGUGUUUCCAAGUUCUUUGCUUUUUUUUUUUUAACAGCUUUAUUGAGAUAUAAUUCACAUACUAUAAAAUUCACCCUUUUAGUAUAUAUGUUGCUGAAGCAAGUAGGGAAAUUCACCCUUUAAAAAUAUACAAUUAAAUGGCUGGUUCAUAUAUUAUAGAGUUGUGCAAUCAUCACCACCAUCUAUUUUCAGAACAUUUUCAUCUUCCCACAAAAUCAACCCAGUACCUAUUAGCAGUCAUUCUCCAUUCUCCACUCCCCCCAGCACCUGGGAACUUACUUUCUGUUUCUAUAGAUUUGCCUAUUCUGGCCAUUUCAUAUAAAUGGGACCAUACAAUAAAUGACCUUUUGCAACUGGAUUCUUUCACUCAGCAUAAUGUUUUCAAGGUUCAUCCAGAAACCAUGUAUCAGUACUGCAUUCCUUUUUACAGAUUCCAUUGUAUAUAUAUGACAUUUUGUUUAACCACUCAUCAGUUGAUGGACUUUGGGUUGUUUCCACAUUUUGUCUAUGAAUAAUGCUGCUACAAAUAUUCACGCACAAGCCUUUGUGUGGACAUAUGUUUGCAUUCUCUUGGGUAUAUAUACCUCUAUCACAUAUGUCUUAUUUAUUUGGUUAAUUCACUGCUGGGUAAUAUGCUAACCCUAUGUUCAACACUUUAAGGAACUGCCACAACUGUUUCCCAAGUGAACAGGGUUGGAUCUUUAUUUUAAACAUUUUAAAUGCUUGUAAUCAUUUUAAAUAAUAGUUGAGUUUGAAAAUGACUACUUUUACAGCUUGUGCAAUAUAAAGUGGCUGUACCCUGAGGCUGUUCAGAGUGAUAUAUAUUGGAUUUUGUCACAUGUAUGCCCAGGGUAGGAGAAAAUGAAAUUUAAAUUCUAUUUGUUUCUUACUAUUUUUAAUUUCUGUUCGUGUAUGGUUUUUCUGUUUUUGAGACAGAGUCUUGCUCUGUUGCCCAGGCUGGAGUGCAGUGGCACAAUCUCGGCUUACUGCAACCUCCACUUCCUGAGUUCAAGAGAUUCUCCUGCCUCAGCCUCCCAAGUAGCUGGAAUUAUAGAAGCCCACCACCACACCUGGCUUAUUUUUGUAUUUCUAGUAGAGACAGGGUUUUGCCAUGUUGGACAGGCUAGUCUCAAACUCCUGACCUCAGGUGAUCCACCUGCCACAGCCUCCCAAAGUGCUGGGAUCACAGGCAUAAGCCACCGCACCUGGCCUAUUUGUGUAUUUCAAAGGCACAUAUUGUACUCAUAUAUUACUGCACUCAUAUAAUUUUUUAAAUUACAAAGUUAAUAAAGCAGCUCAAGUUUGAGGGAGUUUUUAAAAAUUACUAUUUUUUAAAAAUCACAAUAUCUCUAUCAGGUGGCUGCAUUGACUGGCAACUAAUACUGAAGCUUGCAUGGGAAGCCUUUAGAGCUUAUACAAAUUGCUGGACUGAGAUGACAAGGACCCCAUGAGCCUCCCGAACCCUUCAGUCUUUUUUCAUUGGUUCCAUAAGAUGCCUCUUCCCAACCAGGGCAAUCCAGCAAGUCCUCAAAGAAAACUAAAAUGUAAAUGAACAUGCUUAAGUAGAGAAAAAGCUUAAGGGAGGCUUCUGUUCUUCCAUCCACACAUUAACUCCUGCUCAUUCUUUAACACUCCCUUAGGCAUCCCUGCUCCUACCUUCCUAGUCACCCUGUUCAAUCCUCAACCCACAUCCUCAAAUGAGGGUGGCUGCCUCUCCUAUGUGUGCCCAUAAAAACCCUUAUUUCUAUCUAAGCACUCAGUAAACAGCACUGACAUUGUUUUCUCUGUAUCUGUGUCACCAGAUAGUGAUCCCAUUGUGGGCAGGACUCAGUUUUAUUCAUCUCUAUGUCACUGGCUCCAAGCACAGCGCUUAAUGGAGAGAGUACACAGUAUCUCCUAAUUAAUCAGUGAAUGGCUUUUCAAAAUAAUGACAUUCUGCCUCAAGUAGGCCAGACAUACAGCAACCCCUCACAGCCAAAUUGGAAAGUGGUGGUUCAUCAUAUACAAAGACUGACUGAUAGAAUGAAGUGUGAAAGGAAAAUAAAAUGUCAGACCCCAGGCCGGGCGCAGUGGCUCACACCUGUAAUCCUAGCACUUUGGGAGGCUGAGGUGGGUGGAUCACCUGAGGUCGGGAGUUCGAGACCAGCCUGACUAUGGAGAAACCCUGUCUCUACUAAAAAUACAAAAAUUAGCCGGGCGUGGUGGCACAUGCCUACAAUCCCAGCUAAUCGGGAGGCUGAGGCAGGAGAAUCGCUUGAACCUGGGAGGCGGAGGUUGUGGUGAGCUGAGAUCGUGCCAUUGCACUCCAGCCUGGGCAACAAGAGCGAAACUCCAUCUCAAACAAACAAACAAACAAACAAACAAGUCAGACCCCAAACUUACUAUGCCAAAGGGAAAAGUGAAGCCUGGAAACUCAGUCAUGCAAAAAAACUGCCUUUCCUUUUGCCUAAACACAGCCGCAAGAUAGAAGAUUCCAUAUCUCCUCAGUUGGCCUCCCUUACCUUGACAAUGUAAACAGCUUAUCUUCACAGAUACAGCACAAAGUCAAGACUAGAAACCAUCCCUCUGCCCACCUCAGACAUAUGCAUAUUUACUGAGUCCUGACAAAUGCUUAAUUGACUGUUCCUCUACCCCACUUCACAUGUAACAUGUGGAUUCAGUGAGCACUAAUCAAAGCCUCACAAGAAUGUGACCACUUAACUCACUACCUACACUCCUUUUUGUUUUUUUCCUCUACCCCUACUCCUCCUACCCUCACUUUCCCCUUUAAAUACUGAAGCCCUCAAAAUCCUCUUUGGAAAAAUGUGUGGGCCACAGAUCCUACUGUGACUUGUGUCUUUUUCCCAUGUGUGUCCUCAACCUUGGCAAAAUAAGCCUCUAAACUGAUUGAGACCUGUCUCAGAUACUUUUUAUUUUACAAAAGUAUUCACCACUCAGUGAGUCACGAUGAUGACAGCUUAACAUAUAUUCAUUUAAACCUAAGAACUACCCUACAGGAUAUGUACAAUUGUUAACCCUAAUGUACAGAUAAGGAAACUAAAUCUUGAGAGAUUCAUAACUUGCCUGAGGUCACCCAGAAAGUAGAGGAGUCAGGAGUUGAAUGAGUGGAAUCUAAAUUCUAAGAGGCAUUUGGGAGGCCGAGGCGGGUGGAUCCCUUGAUGUCAGGAGUUCAAGACCAGCCUGGCCAACAUGGUGAAACCCUCUCUACCAAAAAUACAAAAAUUAGCCGGGCAUGGUGGCAGAUGCCUGUAAUCCCAGCUACUCAGGAGGCUGAGACAGGAGAAUUGCUUGAACCUGGGAGGCGGAGGUUGCAGUGAGCUGAGAUCGCUCCACUGCACUCCAGCCUGGGCGACAGAGCGAGACUCCAUCUCCAAAAAAUAAAAACAAAUAAAUUAUAUGAAGGCAGAGCCAUGUCAGUCUUACAUCACUGCACACACAGGGCCCAUAUAUAUAUGUAUAUAUUUAUUUAUUUAUAUAUUUAUAUAUGAAUAUAUAUAUUAUAUAUGAAUAUAUAUAUUAUAUAUGAAUAUAUAUUAUAUAUGAAUAUAUAUAUAUUAUAUAUGAUAUAUAUAUUAUAUGAAUAUAUAUAUAAUAUAUAUAUGAGAGAGGGAGAGUGCAAGCAUGCAGGAGUCCAACAACUGUUGGUCGAAUGAGUUCAACUGGCCACACCUGACAUCAGCUGUCUAUCCAGAGCUUGUGGCAAAAAGGCAAAUCCUCAGUCCCCAGACUGACUCUCUGGCUCCUCUUCCUCAUUGUUUCUCCUUGUUCCCUUCCCAUAUUGGCUCAACCUCCAGGUUGGUAUCUUUAUAGUUUGAGGACAGCAAGCCAUGGACACACAAGUGAGGAAAAACCCACUAUGUAAAAGAGGAGAUGACUGGCUGGGCAUGGUGGCUCAUGCCUGUAAUCUCAGCACUUUGGGAGGAUGAGGCGGGCAGAUCACAAGGUCAGGAGAUUGAGACAAUCCUGGCUAAUUCGGUGAAACCCGUCUCUACUAAAAAUACAAAAAAUUAGCCAGGCGUGGUGACACACACCUGUAGUCCCAGCUACUUGGGAGGCUCAGGCAGGAGAAUCGCUUGAACCCAGGAGGCAGAGGUUUCAGUGAGCCGAGAUUGUGCCACUGCACUCCAGCCUGGGUGACAGAGUGAGACUCUAUCUCAAACAAAAAAAAAAAAAAAAAGGAGGAGAUGAUUAAGGUAACACAGGAAGACCGCUCUGUGAGAUGGGAAUGGAAAUAAGCAGGCUGUUUGUUUUUGUGGUGGGAUCACAUGCUGGCUAACAUCUCCCUAGGGGAUUACUGUGUACAAGACACAGUGCUUUUUUAAUCCUUACAACAACCCCCAUCUUCAACACAUCUCUCACUGCUUCCUCUGUUCCAAACUUAUCUAAUAACAACAUACCAUUUUCUGAGGAUUCAAACUUUUGCAUCUGUUAUUCUCUUCUACUAGUGCCUGUUUCUACCCGCAACCUACCCAUCAAAAUCUUACCCAGUUUUCAUGAGCCAAUUCAAACACUACCUCUGAAGACUUCACUAUUCAGUUCUGAGAACUCCUUUCCCACCUUUUCAUUCCUACAACGUGCUAUCACUCACAUGGCACUCAUCUUACUGCAUUCCAAGUCUUUCUUUGAGUACUUGUGUUAUUUCUGCUGCUAGAUUGUGGGUUUCUCAGAGACAGGAACUCUAUCUAAUGGAUCGUUAUGUUUCCUGUGGCUUUUGUAUAUAAUAGGCACUUAAUAUUUGUUGGAUAACACAAACAGCACCAACCUGUCCUUACUGCUACUGUUGCAAGAGAAGGAUGAGUAGCCAUGCCCAAAUCCAGCCAGCCAAAUGUCAGGUACAAUCAUACAAGGCCACACUUUUCUAUAUUUCCUUCACCUAGCAAACCAGCCUAGAUAGCUUCAAAAUACACCAGAACAAAGCUCUGAGUGGUAAUCAACAAUUAGUCAUCUUGGGUCAUGCGUGGUGGCUAACACCUGUAAUCCCAGCACUUUGGGAGGUCGAGGUGGGCAGAUCACUUGAGGUCAGGAGUUCCAAAACAGCUUGGCCAACAUGGUGAAACCCCAUCUCUACUAAAAAUACAAAAAUUACCUGGGCAUGGUGCUGCACACCUGUAAUCCCAGCUACUUGAGAGUCUGAGGCUUGAGAAUCGCUUGAGCCUGGGAGGCAGAGGUUGCAGUGAGCCAAGAUGGUGCCACUGCACUCCAGCCUGGGUGACAGAGCAAGACUCUGUCUCAAAAAAACAAAAAAGCAAACAAACAAAACAACAAACAAUUAUUCACUCCAGUGGCAAACCAUCUUUUAUGGCAGACAGCCAUAAAAUAAGGUGAGGCUGGAAAUGCUCUGCAGAAUAUCUCACAUUCCCUAUAGCUUCUUAGGUUGUCCCUCCUGUUCUCAGCCACGGUAGGAAGAUGAAGAGGGAGUAUGAGGCCUAUACGAAUCUAAGAUUUUAAUAGGAACUUUAAACUAAUAAGUAUUAAUUGGCAGCUAUUGCACAAGCUUGAGGCUAGAAAUCUAGAUUCCCUAUGAUUUAGAACAGUGAUUCGUCCUCAGCAGAUGAGCUUUAAAAAAAAAAAUAGACUGGUGAUUCUUAACCAUAUUUCUACCACAACAAACCAAAUUUAUAAGACAACCCCUCACAAUCAUUUAGGAAUGCCACAGUAAGGGAAU